rnacentral:rRNA from 1 species
CGAUGUCUAGGGGCUCUGAGAGGAUUGUCCCCCACACUGGUACUGAGACACGGACCAGACUCCUACGGGAGGCAGCAGUAAGGAAUAUUGGUCAAUGGACGAAAGUCUAAACCAGCCAUGCCGCGUGCAGGAUGACGGCCCUAUGGGUUGUAAACUGCUUUUAUACGGGAAGAAUCCCCUGUACGUGUACAGGGUUGACGGUACCGUACGAAUAAGGAUCGGCUAACUCCGUGCCAGCAGCCGCGGUAAUACGGAGGAUCCAAGCGUUAUCCGGAUUUAUUGGGUUUAAAGGGUGCGUAGGCGGAAUGAUAAGUUAGUGGUGAAAUCCCUCGGCUCAACCGGGGCACUGCCAUUAAAACUGUCAUUCUUGAGUAUAGUUGAAGUGGGCGGAAUGUAUCAUGUAGCGGUGAAAUGCUUAGAUAUGACACAGAACACCGAUAGCGUAGGCAGCUUGCUAAACUAUAACUGACGCUCAGGCACGAAAGCGUGGGGAGCAAACAGGAUUAGAUACCCUGGUAGUCCACGCCGUAAACGAUGAUCACUCGCUGUUGGCGAUACACAGUCAGCGGCUUAGGGAAACCAUUAAGUGAUCCACCUGGGGAGUACGGUCGCAAGAUUGAAACUCAAAGGAAUUGACGGGGGCCCGCACAAGCGGAGGAGCAUGUGGUUUAAUUCGAUGAUACGCGAGGAACCUUACCUGGGCUUAAAUGUAAGACGACAGUCCCCGAAAGGGGACUUUCCUUCGGGACGUCCUACAAGGUGCUGCAUGGUUGUCGUCAGCUCGUGCCGUGAGGUGUCGGGUUAAGUCCCAUAACGAGCGCAACCCCUAUCCUUAGUUGCCAUCAGAUAAUGCUGGGGACUCUAAGGAAACUGCCUACGCAAGUAGUGAGGAAGGUGGGGAUGACGUCAAAUCAGCACGGCCCUUAUGUCCAGGGCUACACACGUGCUACAAUGGCCGGUACAGAGGGCAGCUACCUGGUGACAGGAUGCUAAUCUCGAAAACCGGUCUCAGUUCGGAUCGAAGUCUGCAACUCGACUUCGUGAAGUCGGAUUCGCUAGUAAUCGCACAUCAGCCAUGGCGCGGUGAAUACGUUCCCGGGCCUUGUACACACCGCCCGUCAAGCCAUGGAAGCUGGGGGUACCUAAAGUCCGUAACCGCAAGGAGCGGCCUAGGGUAAAACUAGUAACUGGGGCUAAGUCGUAACAAGGUA